rnacentral:rRNA from 1 species
UACGUAGGGGGCAAGCGUUGUCCGGAUUUAUUGGGCGUAAAGAGCGUGUAGGCGGCCAGACAAGUCUGCUGUGAAAACUCGAAGCUCAACCUCGAGCUGUCGGUGGAAACUGUCUGGCUAGAGUCCGGAAGAGGAGAAUGGAAUUCCCGGUGUAGCGGUGAAAUGCGCAGAUAUCGGGAGGAACACCAAUAGCGAAGGCAGCUCGCUGGGACGUUACUGACACUGAGGCGCGAAAGCGUGGGGAGCAAACAGG